UGCCAUGCCAAUAUACAUAACAUAUUAUGUUACUUCGUAUUUGUAAUAUCAUAGAUAAUAACAAAAUAACAUAGGACUAAUAUCAUAUAGCAUUAUGUAGGAGUAAUAUAACAAACAUGUCAUCAUACUUAAUAUUUCUAAUAUUAUUUAACUUAAUAUCAUAUACAGUGUUUUCCCUACCAUUGUAUCCCCCAGCGCGCCCCAACACCCACGCCCCCCUCCGAUACGUCCGCCCCCAUAGUUGGGAACAUAGGGGAAACACUGAUAUGACAUAAUAUAGUAGAACCAAUAUAGGAGACAUGGCAUUACACCUUUAUUUCUAAUAUUAUAUAACAUAAUUUCAUAUACAUGUUUUCCCUACCAUUGUAUCCCCCAGCGCGCCCCAACACCCACGCCCCCUCCGAUACGUCCGCCCCCAUAGUUGGGAACAUAGGGGAAACACUGAUAUAACAUAAUAUAGUAGAACUAAUAUAGGAGACAUGGCUUUAUACUUACUUAGAACAUUAUAUCGUAGAACGAAUAUCAUAAAAUAGUAUCGUAUUCCUUAUUUCUAAUAUAAUUUAACUUAAUAUCGUAGAACUAAAAUAAAAUAGCCUCGUAUUCGAUAUGUCUAAUAUAACUAACUUAAUACCGUAGAACUAAUAUCAUAAAAUAGCAUCGUAUUCCUUAUUUCUAAUACAAUUUAACUUCAUAUCGUAGAACUAAAAUAAAAUAGCCUCGUAUUCCAUAUGUCUAAUAUAACUAACUUAAUACCGUAGAACUAAUAUCAUAAAAUAGCAUCGUAUUCCAUAUUUCUAAUAUAAUUUAACUUAAUAUCAUAGAAAUAAUGUCAUAAAAUAGCAUCGUAUUCCAUAUUUCUAAUACCAUUUAACAUAAUAUAGAACUAAUAUCGUAAAUAUAGCAUUAUAUUUCAAUAUAUGACGUAAUAUGUUAUUACAAUAUCAUAAAUAGAAUUUAACAGAUGCUAAUUUUACCGCUAGCCAUGCCUUUAAUACAAAGUAUAGAGGGGUCAUGUGUGUCUACCUUGCAUACUGUAUAACUUGAGAAAUUGAACCGAGAACCCAGUUUCCAAUGACGACCGAAUGAAACUGUUGGACUACCUUCACAAGUUGUUACUAUUGAUUUGUCAAACCGGCUGUGUGAGGUUAUCCGAACAUCGGACAAAUGGCCGGGUUCAGGGUAUGUGCGCAGAUACAGAAAUCCCCUCAUCUUCAUUUGCGGUCUUGCAUUCGCCAAAGAAAGAAAUGGAUGAGAUGUAAAAGAUUCCUCAUUCCUCAGCCGCUGUGCUACCUUCCAGUCCAUGAAGUUGGAAAAGAACACAGCACAGGGAAUAAAAAAUACCCAUUGAAUGAGGAGUGUGGUCCUCAAAUGGGGGUGCGGUGUAUGCGGGGGGGUGGGGGGGGGGGG
ensembl:lncRNA